CCUACGGGAGGCAGCAGUGGGGAAUUUUGGACAAUGGGCGAAAGCCUGAUCCAGCAAUGCCGCGUGAGUGAAGAAGGCCUUCGGGUUGUAAAGCUCUUUUGUCAGGGAAGAAACGGUGGGAGCUAAUAUCUCUUGCUAAUGACGGUACCUGAAGAAUAAGCACCGGCUAACUACGUGCCAGCAGCCGCGGUAAUACGUAGGGUGCAAGCGUUAAUCGGAAUUACUGGGCGUAAAGCGUGCGCAGGCGGUUUUGUAAGUCUGAUGUGAAAUCCCCGGGCUCAACCUGGGAAUUGCAUUGGAGACUGCAAGGCUAGAAUCUGGCAGAGGGGGGUAGAAUUCCACGUGUAGCAGUGAAAUGCGUAGAUAUGUGGAGGAACACCGAUGGCGAAGGCAGCCCCCUGGGUCAAGAUUGACGCUCGAUGCACGAAAGCGUGGGGAGCAAACAGGAUUAGAUACCCUGGUAGUCCACGCCCUAAACGAUGUCUACUAGUUGUCGGGUCUUAAUUGACUUGGUAACGCAGCUACGCGUGAGUAGACCGCCGNGGAGGUACGGUCGCGAGAGUUAAACGUACGAAGUAGAGUUAGACGGACGUGAGACGNGCCGACGGACGACGACGAGGGAGGAGG
rnacentral:rRNA from 1 species